rnacentral:rRNA from 1 species
UACGGGGGGGGCAAGCGUUGUUCGGAAUUACUGGGCGUAAAGGGCUCGUAGGCGGCCAACUAAGUCAGACGUGAAAUCCCUCGGCUUAACCGGGGAACUGCGUCUGAUACUGGAUGGCUUGAGUUUGGGAGAGGGACGCGGAAUUCCAGGUGUAGCGGUGAAAUGCGUAGAUAUCUGGAGGAACACCGGUGGCGAAGGCGGCAUCCUGGACCAACACUGACACUGAGGAGCGAAAGCCAGGGGAGCAAACGGG